UUUCCGAAUAUUGUGUUCAACUUUUUGAAAGCAGCUCGUGACCCCGAAACUGCAUCCCCCCCGGAGCCGGGGACCCAGGCGCCAGGCGGGCGGGUGAACCCGGCCAGUCCCUCCCAAUCCCCGCAACCCCCCGCCUCCGUGUGUGGGGGGGGGACCCAGGCCUGGAGGAAGGCUGGGCAGGUGCCGAGGGCUGUGCCGAAAGCGCUGAAAUCGAAAACCCUCGCCACUCAGGAAGAAUUGAGGCACAAGGAUUACAGAUGCAGCUCGGGAACAGCCCUGUACUCCAGCCAGUGCCUGGUCGCCCGUGGGCCCACCGGGCUCCGCGGUUCGCUGGCGGCGCCGCCUUGUGAGCGCUAAAGCCGGGAGGAGGGCUCAGGCAAGGCGCGCAGCUCUGAGCGCGCCCCUACCCGCUUCGGCCCGCAGCAGCCGGGACUUGCCUCUCCGCAAGUAAGGCUCUGCGCCGCCCUCUGAGUCCACCUCCAGGCCACAACACUGCCAGCGCUUCUGCAGCUUAGACUGGAAACACUAUGCUGCCUCCCGAAGCCGGGCCAGCUGUAAAUCAGUGAAGCAGCCCAGCUCCUCAAAGAUCCGGAGCUGGCCGACCCCAGACUGAUUCUCAACAGGUGGCUGGGAAUAAGUGCUCUGAGGUUUGAACUCUGAAGUAUAAACUUACUCUGGCUGUGGUGGCAUAGACUUGUGGUACGUCAGCAGUCCACGGUCAGCCUUGUCUACAUAGCAAGUUUAAGGCCAGUCUGGACUACAUGAGACCAUGUCUGAAAAAAAGAAAAGCCCCAAGUGGAAAACGGAAAGCAGAAAAGAGAAUAUUCCUAGUGCGACAAGAAAUGUUCACCUCUCUCGAUGAUUUCUCUGCAGAAUGUGUUUAUAUGCUACGUGAUCUGUGGAGAAUCACCAAGCUGUGGAGGAAGAGAGGAAUAUGUAGACCCAAGCAGAAUUCUCAAAGAAUUUCUAGACGCUCCGAACCCAAGUCACACAGGCUUUAAGUAUUGGUCAAUCUCCAGGAAUGAAACAGAAACUUACUCCACCACUCAAGUCCUGUUUCUGAUCGAGGGACUAAAGGGCUAGGCCAACCAGUGGUUGCCAUGGAAGCUGCAUUAUGGAGUCCUGUCCUGCAAGGAGAGUUAGAUUAGAAGGAGCUGGGAUUCUUGGAAUCUGCAGAAGCAGCAUGCUGGGUAGGAAGAACCCAGAAAGCGUGCCUCUGAGACAGUCAGUCUGUCCACAUACAAAAGGCAGGCACCCACAGGGCUGGGGGGGCUAUUAAGUCAAACCUGGAGUCACAACCCCAGUGCCGUCAGACGGUCCCCAACCCUUUGCAGCAAGGUAGACAUGUGUCAGUGUGGCUGAAAAGCUUCUUCUGUGAGGUUUAACAACUUUCUGGUGUAACUUCUGAGAGGACUGAUUGCUUAUUCAUGUGGAAGCAAGACGCCCAGUUCACUUCGCCUGUUUCUGCUCCUCUUUGUUGGUUCGGGGGGGGGGGGGAGUGUUAUGGUAGCUGCAAAUGGCUUCUCGGGUGACAUUUGCUGACAUUCAGUGAAGUACAUUUAUCAGCAUUCACUAGCUCACCUCCGCGCAUGCAAUCCAUUUUGUUUUGUUCUUCGUAGCAACCUCCUUCCCAACACCCAUGCCCUGAAAACGAUGAAGGGCACGGCGGUGUAUUUCUCAAGCUGCACUCAAAUGUCACUGUGAAAAAUCUUUAAUGGACUAAGUGUAGCUUUUCACGUUACAACUUGUCAGGUACUGAGAAAUUCUAGAGUUUCUCCUUAAUCCACAAGUCAUUGGAACCACACAUCUGCAGGUAGAGACUAAUUACAAGCUGUACGCGUCAGAACCUGGGCAAGCAGAGACCAAGGAGAAAACAUUCGGUAUCAGUUAAUUCUUUAUUACCAUCAUCAUUAUUAUUAUUAUUCCCAUUCAACUUUUGCUGCCUCCUUUCCUACUUGGAGGGUACGCUGGGUAUGAGCAAUGUGUUACUCUAAUUAAUCCAGUGACAGCCUUCAACUAGCUCUCCAGGCAGGCUUAGUCGCUACACACUCAGCUUUCCCCAUCGCCCUUCUCAUCUUCCCCUCCAAGCUAUCUGACUCUGAACCAGAAGCCUGGUCCCUUAGGGUUGGCCAGAAGGGCGUCAUUGGGGGCGUCAUUGGGAGGUGCCUGAUACCACCUAGUCAUUGCUCAUCAGAGAGCGUGGCCAUUGGAGCCUCACCAAUGAAUAAGCCUGCAUCUUCCUCCCCUAGCCCACACCUGGUGGGAGCCAUGCCACAUUCACAAUGGUGGCCUGCAGACUCCCACUGAGCCUUGCAUAGGGCUUGCUGGGUCUCAUUUUACCCCCUUUGAAUGGGCUCAGUGGCUUUUCUCAGUAAGCAAAUUUGCCCACACUCCCCUGCCCUGCUUCUCAGUUCACCCCCCACCCCCCACCCCCCCCCCAGUGUCACUGUGAUGGGUGGGUCUUCUGGGAUGCUAUUGGCUGACUCAGGUGCAAUUAUCACCAUCAUUAUUAUCAUUAUUAUUGUAUUUUAUUUAUAUGAGUUUGGCUCAUAUAAAUUUUAUUUAUACACUGUGGCUGUCUUCAGACACAGCAGAAGAGGGCAUCGGAUCCCAUUACAGAUGGUUGUGAGUCACCAUGUGGUUGCUGGGAUUUGAACUCAGGACCUCUGGAAGAGCAGUCGGUGUUCUUAACCGCUGAGCCACCUCUCCAGCCCCACAGAUGGAAUCUUAUGAGUGAACUUCAGAGAGACAUCUUGCCCCUUCCACAAUGUAAACUAGGAAGUAGGAUCUCACAAGCACUGACUCUGCCAGUCCCAUGACCUUCAAACUCCCAGCUUCUAGAACUGUUCAGAAUAAAAUUCUGUUCCUUAUAAGGUUUCAUUUUAAUUAAUUUUAAUUUAUUUUAUUCUUUGAGAAAGGGGCUCUUGAAGACUAGACUGGCUCCAAACUUUCAGUGUAGCCAAGAAUAACCUUGGGUUUCUGGUUCUUCUACCUUCUACCUCUCCAUCAUGGGAAUUUCAAAUGCAUGCCACCGUGCCCAGGUUAGGGAGUGCUGGGGAUUGAACCCGUGGCACUGAGCAUACUAGGUAAGCAUUCUAUACCAUCUGAACCACAUCCUAACCCUUAGUUUCUGACAUUUUGUUAUAGCAGCCCGAAUGGACUAAGACAUCCCUGUAGUUGGAAGAGUUGAUUGAUCUGUGCAUGUCUAUAUUGUAUCCUAAUGAAUGCACCAUAAUCAAUUAAUAUUGAUUGUGUAGUCAAUGUUUAAAGGUCAAAGAGUAGGGGAGAGAGAACUUGAAAUACAAGAAUAAGAAUGGUAUUACUAAAAACUAUAUCGUCAUGGCUGCCAUGGGCCAGAUGCUGAAGUCGGGAAGGGCUGUACUGCUGAAGCUAUUCCCUGCCCCCACUGUCACCUGCAACUUCACCCUUGACCUUCUCCCUUUGUCCCCUACCCCACCCCCACCUCUCCACAUGAGUUACUAUUGCCUUUAUUUUUAACCCUUUGGAACCCCUCUAAUAAGUACAGAGCUUCGGUCAUGUAGAACCUUAGCUUUUAACUGUUUUGUCUAAAGUCCACAGACCUGAUCACUUGUGCUGUUGCUAAAAAUAAAGAAGAAGAAGGAGGAGGAAGAGGAGGAGGAGGAGGAGGAGGAGGAGGAGGAGGAGGAGGAGGAGGAGGAGGAGGAGGAGGAAGAGGAAGAAGAAGAGACGAAAAACAAACAGGAAAAGCCUUGUUUCUUCUGCUUCUUGUAACUGUUUUCAGUUCUUUCUGAAGUGCAGUUCUCUGGAACUGGACUAAACCUGUGGCCCCCUGCUCACAUUCCAGUUAGAGCAAAGGAAGUGCGUCAGGCAUACCCUCAAUGGCCAGGCACUGUAGGGCAGAGUAAAUCUUCACUCGUUUUAUUUUAUUUUAGUCUACUCAUUUUAAACAUCUGUCCCCCAAGUGCAGAAUGCAGAGAGCCGAGGUUAGUCCCCUGAGGACGGGCUGUAUGCCAGACUUCAUCACGACCAGAAAUGUCUGCACCCCUAGCUCUUAGAAGACGAGGGCUCACAGAAGAAGAAACACUUCAGUUGUCUGUAUAGUUUUGACAGUCAACCAAAUAGCUGGAAGGGUGAGGUCCUGUAUCAAUUUGGAAUCCACUAAAACAUGAAGUUCAGACUCAGGUGACUUUCUUAUCUAAAGCACUGGGGAAUGAACUCCAGGUUUCACACAUGCUAGGCAAACCUCGUCUUCAGGGGUGACUUUCUUUCUUUUUUUGGGGGGAAGUAGUGCGAGCAAGAUCUACCAUGUAGCCUGGCUGGCCUGAAUUCACUAUGUAGAUCAGGCUGGCCCAGAGACCCACCUGCCUCUGCUUUCUGAGUGCUGCUAUUAAAGGCACGUGGGGCGGAGGAGCCAUGUGGCAGGGGAGCUGUGUGGAACAAGAGUAAGAUCUAAGCUUGUCCAAACUCCAAAAGCCCCGUCUUAAUACUGGAAGGAUGAAGAUUGUUCUCUCAUGCCUGGCCCUCAUGUCCCGGCCCAUCCAACCUUAUGACCCCAUUACCUCUGCCACCCUUGAGGUGGUCACAAGCACCUGGAAUUCCUCUUUAUGCAAACAAAGUAGGAUCUCAGCCCCAGCCAAUGACAUACACUUACCCUGAAAGCCUCUACCUAGUUCCCAAAGGUUUAAAUGGUUCUUGUUCCACACCCCCUCCCCCAGUUAAAUGAUGUGCUCAGUGAAGCCUGCUUCCUGAGAAGUCUGUUUCUCACAGCGCUCACCCAUUGCCUAAGGUCUCCAUCACCUCUUCUUCCUCCCCCAAGCCUGGCCACCCUUGCCCAGCUUCCCCUCUCUGGCCACUGGUCUGAUCCCCUUUGAUCAAGGUGUUAAGGGAGGGGGAGUGGGGCGGGAAUUACCAUCAAAUCUGGGCCCCAGGAGUAACUUUUAAAGGCAUCAGUUAUACACGUACCUGUCUGCUUUAUUACAUGACCUAGAAGGUGUUUAAGAUAUACUGGUCAAAAGAUAAGCUCCAAGAGUGACAGCACCCUACUUUAACCCCUUUAAUCUCUUUUCCUUUUAACACAGAGAGAAACCCCAUUUCAACAAACAAACAAACAUAACAACACUCAAACAAGCCAACAGAAAGGGAGAAACACACCUGUGGUAUUCUGGCUGCUCCUUGUGGCAUCCAUGAACUUGUGCUGGUUCAGCAGAGCCUCAGGGUUCCUUCUGGAUCAAGCCCCUGACACUGCUGAUAUCCUGACAUUGAAGAUAGGAAUUACCCUGAAGAACGACUUUUAAACAGGCUCACAUCCCUGUUUCCUAUUAACCUUUCCUUCCCUCUACCUUUGACAGGUGAGCUAGUAGGGAGGUUGAAGAGUUUAAGAACCCUUGUUAACGUAGGUUUUGAAAAGUCUAAGCUUACCGGAAGUAAUACAUCCUGAGGAUUAGAAUUAUGUAUCUAAGUGUAUACAUGGGCUCAUCAAUUUGGGUCUAAUUUCCCCUUAAAAUACCAAAAAGCUUUUGUAGACCCACAUCCUGCCUCUGAUACCACAAGGGAGUUUUGUGGUGACUGGAGCAGUAUGGGUAAUGACCAUCACAGGGCUUUGACCAAGGUCAAUAUGCUGCAUUCUGGGUAUUUGUGGUACAACUCACAAAAUGCAUUUGUGCUGCAUCCUGAGGCCAGGGGUGCAGUCUUUCAGAUCUGGGAACACGGCCUUGCAGACCCAGAAGAGGCCCAGAGUUCAAGCCCUCACUGCAUCAAGGUCUCUUUUGGAGCCUGGGAACAGGCAGCAGACAGGACCUCAUGGUGGACAUCCUGACCCCAUCAGCCUCGGCAAGACCCACUCAACAGGGCAUUUUUGUUUCUUCCAGGUGGUUCUAAAGGAAGCCAGAGUUAAGAAUCAUACCUCAAGGAGGGAGGGGAAGUUGCCAUAGGGAUUUAAAUUUAAAAAUUAAUUAAAAGUGAAUAAAAUAAAAGAAUUUUACCUCCAAUCAAAACCCCUAAGUGUACAGAGUAACAGAGGGAAAGAAAUAGAUUCACACACACACACACACACACACACACACACACAAAUUAACAGAUUAACAGGCAUCUUGGGAGACCCGGAGAUCACCGUGACCUGAGAUCCACUCAAGUAUGUCUCAUUAAGUUCACCCUUCCAAGAUGGCUGGCUCAGGGCUACUGGCAAUGACAGCAAUGUUUGCAGGAGCUAAUGGGCAAUGGCCUCUUUCCACCAUGCCCUCAAAGGACGGUGGCCUUUGAUGCCAGUCGGCCAGCAUUCUGUAUUUCACAAGCCCUUCCCACCAAAGCACGUUCCCAGCUCAUUAAGUCACACCAUCAGCCAGGCCAAGAACGAAAGGUCCAAGGGAGUAGUGCAGUUUUGUUUUAAGCACCGCACAGUCGAUUAGCAUCGAGACUGAAGUGCCCAGGCAGUGGCGUGGGAGGAAUGGAGUCUCUGUUGACUUGGUGAAUCAUGUCCGAAGUUGGGUUCCUUCCAAAGGCAGAAUAAGGGAAUGAUAACCCUGGCCUUGUUACUUCUCUUUUUUUAAAAGAUUCAUUUAUUUAUGUAUAUGAGUACACUGUUGCUGCCCUCAGACACACCAGAGGAGGGCAUCAGAUCCCAUUACAGAUGGUUGUGAGCCACCAUGUGGUUGUUUGAUUUGAACUCAGGACCUCUGGAAGAACAGUCAGUACUCUUAACCACUGAGCCGUCUCUCCAGCCUCACCCUUUGUUACCUUCUUAGGUCAGAUGCUUAGCUUUGUUAAUUGUUGACUUUAUCUGAAUAGAAGCCUGGAUAGCUACUCUACUCUCUGAGAACGUUCAUUUGUCAUGGGGCCAGGUAUAAAAAAUAGGGGUUUCUGCUUAGCAUAGGGGGUGACACAUGCUUUUAGUCCCAGCACUCAGAGUCAGAGACAGGUUGAUCCAUGAGUUCUAGGCCAGUCUUGUCUACAGAGCCAGGACAGCAGGGCUAUCAGAAAACUAGUCUCAAAAGACAAAGAAACAGCAGCAGCAGCAGCAGCAGCAGCAGCAGCAACAACAACAACAACAAAAACAAAAACAAAUCCAGUCAUGUGGCACCUGCCUAUAAUCCCAGCUCUGGGAUAUAUUUCAGGCCAAUAAGAGUCAACUGUCGCAAAAAAAAAAAAAAAAAAAAAAGUAGCUAGUACUUGAGGAACAACCUCUUCAGCUUCCAUAGGUGUCCUCCACACAGGCGCUUGCUCCCCUGUGAACUGGGCCAGCCACAUGGUGCCACCUGCCUGCGAUGCCAACAUUCAGGAGAUGUAAGCACGGAACUGAGAGGCAAUGCCAUCCUUUCUUGAUUGUGUAGGGAGUUUAGUCCGGCUAUGUGACACCCUGUCUCCAAACACACUUCCACCCUAAUCCCUUUUUUAAAAUACAAAAGGUGAAAAGAAAGGAAACUCAGAGCCUUAUAUAGAGGGGCAAAACUGGUGAUCCUCCUGCCUCUGCUAUGACCAACUGAAACUUGUUUUUCUAAAUCUAGGCUUUAAGGAAGCACGCCAAGUGUGUUUCUUCAGUUCACUGAAGUUAUUCUUAAUUUCUGUUGUUGCUGGGAGGAGUGGUGGAAAGCCAUUGCUACGAAGAAUCAUUCCUUUAAAAAUAACUUUUUCUCUCUCUAUCUGAUUUUAAGAUUUUCUCUUUAUCAUGUCCUGACAUAGGAGGUCAUACACAUACAAGAGUAAACACGACCACCGUAACAUUAAACCUCAGAGAGAGGUUCAGAGACAUGAAGAACUCCAAUAGAUCCUAAGUCUCUGUGGUGGCUUGUCAAUGUUUAGCCUGGGAGUGGCGCUAUUUGGAGGUGUGGCCUUGUUGGAGUAGGUGUGGCCUUGUUGAAGUAGGUGUGGCCUUGUUGGAGUAGAUGAGUCACUGUGGGCUUUAAUACCCUAGUCCUAGAUGCCUGGAAGUGAGUCUUCCACUUCCUUCAGAUGAAGAGUUAGAAUUCUCAUGCUUAGAUGCUGCCAUGCUCCUGCCUUGAUGAUAAUGGACUGAACCUCUGAACUUCUAAGUCAGCCCCAAUUAAAUGUUGUCCUUUAUACGA